rnacentral:rRNA from 1 species
CAGUCGAACGAUGAAGCCCAGCUUGCUGGGUGGAUUAGUGGCGAACGGGUGAGUAACACGUGAGUAACCUGCCCUCGACUCCAGGAUAAGCCCGGGAAACUGGGUCUAAUACUGGAUAUUCAAUUUCCAUCGCAUGGUGGUUUUUGGAAAGGAUUCUGGUCGAGGAGGGACUCGCGGCCUAUCAGCUUGUUGGUGAGGUAAUGGCUCACCAAGGCGACGACGGGUAGCCGGCCUGAGAGGGUGACCGGCCACACUGGGACUGAGACACGGCCCAGACUCCUACGGGAGGCAGCAGUGGGGAAUAUUGCACAAUGGGCGAAAGCCUGAUGCAGCGACGCCGCGUGAGGGAUGACGGCCUUCGGGUUGUAAACCUCUUUCAGUAGGGAAGAAGCGAAAGUGACGGUACCUGCAGAAGAAGCGCCGGCUAACUACGUGCCAGCAGCCGCGGUAAUACGUAGGGCGCAAGCGUUAUCCGGAAUUAUUGGGCGUAAAGAGCUCGUAGGCGGUUUGUCGCGUCUGCCGUGAAAGUCCGGGGCUUAACUCCGGAUCUGCGGUGGGUACGGGCAGACUAGAGUGCUGUAGGGGAGACUGGAAUUCCUGGUGUAGCGGUGAAAUGCGCAGAUAUCAGGAGGAACACCGAUGGCGAAGGCAGGUCUCUGGGCAGUAACUGACGCUGAGGAGCGAAAGCAUGGG